rnacentral:rRNA from 1 species
AGGGAAUCUUCCACAAUGGGCGAAAGCCUGAUGGAGCAACGCCGCGUGAGUGAAGAAGGAUUUCGGUUCGUAAAACUCUGUUGUAAGGGAAGAACAAGUACAGUAGUAACUGGCUGUACCUUGACGGUACCUUAUUAGAAAGCCACGGCUAACUACGUGCCAGCAGCCGCGGUAAUACGUAGGUGGCAAGCGUUGUCCGGAAUUAUUGGGCGUAAAGCGCGCGCAGGUGGUUUCUUAAGUCUGAUGUGAAAGCCCACGGCUCAACCGUGGAGGGUCAUUGGAAACUGGGAGACUUGAGUGCAGAAGAGGAUAGUGGAAUUCCAAGUGUAGCGGUGAAAUGCGUAGAGAUUUGGAGGAACACCAGUGGCGAAGGCAAUCCCCUGGGCCUGUACUGACGCUCAUGCACGAAAGCGUGGGGAGCAAACA